GACAGAGGUGCCGAGCGUUAGGCGGAAUCACUGGGCUUAAAGCGUGUGUAGGCGGGCCGUUAAGUGUCUUGUGAAAUCCCCCGGCUCAACCGGGGAAUUGCUGGGCAUACUGGCGGUCUUGAGCGAUCUAGGGGCAGAUGGAACAAGUGGUGGAGCGGUGAAAUGCGUAGAGAUCGGAAAGAACACCAACGGCGAAAGCACUCUGCUGGGCCGACACUGACACUGAGAGACGAAAGCUAGGGGGAGCGAAUGGG
rnacentral:rRNA from 1 species